AUUGAACGCUGGCGGCAGGCUUAACACAUGCAAGUCGAGCGGAGAUGAGGUGCUUGCACCUUAUCUUAGCGGCGGACGGGUGAGUAAUGCUUAGGAAUCUGCCUAUUAGUGGGGGACAACAUUCCGAAAGGAAUGCUAAUACCGCAUACGUCCUACGUGAGAAAGCAGGGGAUCUUCGGACCUUGCGCUAAUAGAUGAGCCUAAGACGGAUUUGCUAGUUGGUGGGGUAAAGGCUUACGAAGGCGACGAAAUGUAGCGGGUCGGAGAGGAUGAGCCGCAACACUGGGACUGAGACACGGCCCAGACUCCCACGGGAGGCAGCAGUGGGGAAUAUUGGACAAUGGGGGAAACCCUGAUCCAGCCAUGACGCGUGUGUGAAGAAGGCCUUAUGUUUGUAAAGCACUUUAAGCGAGGAGGAGGCUACUGAGACUAAUACUCUUGGAUAGUGGACGUUACUCGCAGAAUAAGCACCGGCUAACUCUGUGCCAGCCGCCGCCGUAA
rnacentral:rRNA from 1 species